CGUUUUGUAGAAAUUGAACAAGAGAAGGGUCAGCAGAAGCUUCUAGAAGGAAUCAAAAGCUUUGAUACUACUAAGAUGAAGCACAGUGAAAUGACAGUGAAAAAUCCUUUACCUACUAAGGAUGUGAUCGACCAAGAAAAAAGCAGCAACUAGGCUUGAACUUGGGUAACUGAUUUCUAAACAUACAACCCAAGGGAUCAGUAACUUACAAGUUCACUACCUGGAAAACUCAAACUUGCCAAAUCCAUUAUGUAUUCCAUGAAGAAAAUAAAAAUGAGUUUUCAAGGCGCUGCCAAAUUUUUUAAUCGAAUAAACAAUCCUGUAAAAAACAAACUAAUUAAAUAAUUAUACCAAAUAUUCCAUAAGUUUUGAUCCAUAUUGAUACAAACUCUGUAAUUAACUACAUAUCAAACUAAAAUUUAAUAUCAGUAUUUUACUUUACUCUUUAAUAGUCUCACCAGGUGUUUAUUGUAGUAAUUGAUUAUAAGAAUGUGUGUGUGUGUUCAGAUUCGAAGCUUAUGAUAAUACACAAGCUUAUUUGUUUGUUUUUCCUCCUUUAUUAUUCCAAUAUCACUACUCUCAAUUGUUUUUACUAAUUUUUAAAUAUAAGUAUGAUACAGAGGCAAUAGUGCAGUUUAUUAUUACUGAUGUUGGGCGUUUGUUAUAAUAUAUAAAUGUGCUUGUACUUCUUUUUCCAUUUAUAAACUAGUCCUUAAUAUAUCUGAUACUAACAAAUUUUACACAAGUUAAUUAUUUUUCAGUAAUGUGCAUGGACCUUCAGCAAGGAAUUUUUUGUUUUUGAAAAUGAUAUAUAAAUACAAUCAUAGCAAAAAAAUAGAGUUGAUCUGGAAUAAUUCCAAAAUAAAAAGGGGACCAAUAAUUUGUACUAAAUCUUAAAAUGUUUGAUGUAUACAUGAUUUAUGUACAUAUCCUGAAAUUUCUUUGUUUUUGUUGCUUCAGUGACCAUCUUUAUUUGAAUAAAAUUACCACAGUUAUGUACUUA